rnacentral:rRNA from 1 species
CAGCGCCGCGAGUGGCAAUCGUGUAUUUGGCCUAAAGCGUCCGUAGCCGGUUUAGCAAAUCUUCUGUGAAAUUGUACAGCUCAACUGUACAACGUGCAGAAGACACUACUAGACUUGGAACCGGGAGGGGUAUGGAGUAUUUCAGGGGAAGCGGUAAAAUGCUAUAAUCCCUGGAGGACUACCUAUGGCGAAGGCACCAUACCAGAACGGAUUCGACGGUGAGGGACGAAAGCUAGGGGAGCGAUCCGGAUUAGAUACCCGAGUAGUCC